CCUGCUGCUAAUAAGCUUCUCUUCAUUGUGCUAAAGUUACCUGUGCAACUGGAUAAAAGUGAAGCAGCUGGAAGUUUAGUUUGGUGUUUUGAUGUCCAAUUAUUAAUUAUAAUACGCAUUCAUUGUAUAGAGAUGCUGGAACCUACCUAUUGCUGAGAUCCUGGAUUGCUGGCCUGCUUUAAAAUGGAGUCAAAGAUCUGCUCCGAGUUUCUCAAAAUUAUGAACGUCAACCUGAAGAACCAGAAUUAAAGUUGAUCCCACAGGAAAAGUGUCUGAAGUACUGAGUCAGCUUUUCAGGAUAUGUGACACUUCAGGAAAUACUGACAUCCAUGUAUGAUGAGCUGCUGUCCUCCGUGCUCCCUCCGCCUAUCUGCUUGAGGACGACUCCACCGUUCUCAAGAUGUGGGAUGUAAGUGAUCAUGUUGCUUGAGCCUAUGAUACACGGGGCAAAUUUUGAGCAAUUUCGCUGAGCAAAAGAUGAGACACAGGGCACACGACCGAUCUAAAGUAUCCGGAUAGAAAUUUGUUGCCCAUUUUCAAUGGGAAAGUGCCCAAGCAACAUUGCUAAAAAAAAAGUUGCCCUGCCCAUCUUUAGAAUUUAGAGAGAGAGAUCACUAAAAAUCAAAAUGCUGCCUAGUCCUCAUUUACACUCUUUUACAGAACACCAAAGAAUUACUACAAUUAUAAAGGAUUUAUUAA